GACUAUUCUCAGCUACUUAAUUGAAAGUAUUAUCCAUUUACAAACUUAAGGCCUGCCAUAAAAAGGCUCUCUUCUGUAUCCAAUAGACCUUUCAGAACCCUAAGAACAACAAAAUCUAAUCAAUAAAGCUUCUCUUUUCUUUUCCUCUUUUCUUAUAGGGAAGUGAAGAACUAACCUAUAGUACAUCUAAACAAAGCUAUCUGUAAAGAUCUUAUUAGCAGUGAAGACCAUAAAACUGAAGAGUCUGACUUGGCGUGGAAUGGACAGGAUCAGUUAAGUUAGGACAUGGUCUGUACUACUUUUGCAGUCUGCACUCCUACUACAGAAUGGCAGAUACAACCUACGACAAGAGCAAGGAACUUCUGCAGGAGUACAGAUGUAAGGAAUUCCUACUGUUUCCACCCACAGCUGCUCAUUCCUAUUUAUUAGUUGUGCUUAGUUGCUCCAAAAAUUGUUUUUUUCACACUGUGAAAUAAAUCAAAUAACUGAUCCAUGUUGAAAAAAUCGUACUAAAAAAAAAGAUGUGGAGGUGUCCUAAUCGUAGAGGCUGGGACCAGUUUAUCACUAUGUGGGUAUAAUCAAAACUGUAUUCUACACUCUCCAUGUAAUUUCUGAAGUACUGUUAAUAAUGGAUAAUUUGCAGUAGCUGCCCAGGGCACACCUGACACCUCAGGCUACAAGGUGGGUGUUAAAGAACUCUGGGAAGAGUGUUUCUUAGUCUUCACACCAAUGACUCAGCUGUGAUAACUCCCCUCUGGGGAGGAAUUAGCACCUUUACACCCAGCCUGAGGGGUCAUCUCUGCUAAUGGGCCAUACUGGACUGGCAUAAUAGGCAGUUCCAACAACUUAGACCAUCAAGGACUCCAAAAAUAUCCCAUGACUCACAGAGUUAAAUAACCCUGGGGGAGGUACUGGACAUUCCCAGCUGAACCUGAGCACAUAUAAUCUUGGGGUUUUGGGAUUUCUAGUCCACUUGUCAGAUCCAGAGGACGACCAGAACUUCAACAGGACUGCAACAGUCACUCUCGACAAGACUAUGAUCAUCACUUCAAAAGAACUGCAAUCAUCAUCCAGACCAUUUCCUUUUACUUUGCCUCCAGGGGGACCACAUGGUGGUCAGCACAGGGGUGGAUGAACACCACUGUGUUCUUGUCCCGGGGUGCGGGGU
ensembl:lncRNA